rnacentral:tRNA from 1 species
GGGUGGAGCAGCUCGGUAGCUCGCUGGGCUCAUAACCCAGAGGUCGCAGGUUCAAAUCCUGUCCCCGCUACCA